GAUGAACGCUGGCGGCGUGCCUAAUACAUGCCAGUCGAGCGAACAGACGAGGAGCUUGCUCCUCUGACGUUAGCGGCGGACGGGUGAGUAACACGUGGAUAACCUACCUAUAAGACUUGGAUAACUUCGGGAAACCGGAGCUAAUACCGGAUAAUAUAUUGAACCGCAUGGUUCAAUAGUGAAAGACGGUUUUGCUGUCACUUAUAGAUGUAUCCGCGCCGCAUUAGCUAGUUGGUAAGGUAACGGCUUACCAAGGCGACGAUGCGUAGCCGACCUGAGAGGGUGAUCGGCCAAACUGGAACUGAGACACGGUCAAGACUACUACGGGAGGCAGCAGUAGGGAAUAGUCCGCAAUGGGCGAAAGCAUGACGGAGCAACGCCGCGUGAGUGAAGAAGGUCUUCGGAUCGUAAAACUCUGUUAUUAGGGAAGAAAAAAUGUGUAAGUAACUAUGCACGUCUUGACGGUACCUAAUCAGAAAGCCACGGCUAACUACGUG
rnacentral:rRNA from 1 species